rnacentral:rRNA from 1 species
UACGUAGGGUGCAAGCGUUAAUCGGAAUUACUGGGCGUAAAGCGUGCGCAGGCGGUUAUGCAAGACAGAUGUGAAAUCCCCGGGCUCAACCUGGGAACUGCAUUUGUGACUGCAUGGCUAGAGUACGGUAGAGGGGGAUGGAAUUCCGCGUGUAGCAGUGAAAUGCGUAGAUAUGCGGAGGAACACCGAUGGCGAAGGCAAUCCCCUGGACCUGUACUGACGCUCAUGCACGAAAGCGUGGGGAGCAAACAGGG